GCCAGGCGUAGUGGUGCAUGCCUGUAAUCCUAGCAGCUUGGGAGGCUGAGGCAGGAGGAUAGAGUUCAAAGCCAGCCUCAGCAAAAGCAAGGUGCUAAGCAACCCAGUGAGACCCUGUCUCUA
rnacentral:sRNA from 1 species